UUAAGCUCGAAAUUAAAGAAGACAUUUCUAGUCAGAAACAAGCAAAAAUGGCGAAUGCAGAGUAUCAGAAGCCCAAGGUACAUAAAUUAUGAGAAGUGUCGAAUGAUUUUAAGGAAAGAAUGGUAUUUGAAGAUGCAAGAUUCUUUAGUGGAAAUCAAGCAAGUCAGUAUAGGUAGAAUACUCUGAGAAAUUAUGCGUGUAAUGGGAUAGCACACAAUUGGUCAGGAAAUGCGUUGUUUUUCUGAAAAACUAAAGCUGAUGACUGUCAUAUCAUGAGUCACUGUAGCAUCAUGAGACUGCUGUUUGAUAAAUUCAGAAAGAAACCAAAAAGCAAGCCAUGCAAAAAUUAAAAAAAAAGACUAUUUAAUGAUGCUCUAUCCACACUGGGAUAAAUAAUAAGAAACGGAUCACGUCUAAUGUUGACAUAUCAGACACCUUGUGAAACACUAAAGGAAAAAUUCAGUUUCGAGCUAUGGCACACGCCGCAUAGAUGUGGGGGGCCUUGCACCAAUAGUAAUAGUUACCACUGCAUCUAGAAAUUUAAAGCAUUCAUGCAGACAAGGAUGAUUCUUUAUAUUUUUGGCUACCACUUCAAAUGCCUCCACUAAGUGUUACAAUGCUGCACGCAGCCAUACUAAGGAUCUCAUAGCAACACUUGCAGGUAAACAGCAAAAGCAGUCAAAGUGCUGGUGUAUUCUGGACACUGUCUUUGAAAACUUUUAGGCAAGAACAGUGCAAGAAACAUACAUAAGAACUGCAUUUAUUUCUAUAAUUCCCCAUUUGAAUGGGCUUUUCUUUUUCCUUCGACAAUGCCUUCGCCUAGCCACAGCAGCUCCCUCAUACAGACUCCGCAAGCCAAGAGGCCGUGGAGGCAAAUGCAGACAGCCAGCACACCUCGAACAGCCACCUUGACUGCGAGUGUGUCACCCUAGUCGCCAAGGAAACAUUUGAGGGAAAGCGACAGGCAAUGUGAACAGACACUUCUCCAUGUAAACGAUACUCGUUCUCUCGGAUGACUCCUACGUUCGCCACGCCAGCACACUUGUGCACAAAGAUGCCGCGGAGGCACGUGCAGGUCAGAGGCAAGAAGCAGUGGCACUGGUGUCGACAUUCGCCCAAUUUCUUUUUCUUACACUGAGGCAGCCAGCACACCUCGAACAGCCACCUUAACUGCGGGUGUGUUAGUAGAUUCCUGUUGUACAUAUGCUCAUAAUAAACUUCAGUAAACUUGAACUUGAUAAUAAACUUGAAGGCAAAUGGGA